AUGGGACACUGGCUAAAAGUGGGAUUUUCCAGGGGAUGUCCUUAUAUAGUAAAAGUGGCUAUUGACUCAUCCAAAUUUAAAAAAAAAUCAUUUAGGCAGAGAGGCUUCCAUAGAAGAGCUAUUUUCAUUUUUCUUGCUGACUCAAAGAGUUCUGGAGAAAAUGCUUUAGCUUUUCUUAAUUGUUACAGUUGCACAAAGAAAUAUCUGUGUUGCUAUUGCCAUUAGAACUGCUAUUGGCUCUGUUGUGCAAUUUGUUUUCAAAGGAGGUCUGGCAGGAUGAGUGCUCUCAUUUCUGACUUGCUGCUGCCCAGGGCAGUGGGUGACUGUGACAACAUCUUUUAUUGUUUCCAGCUUCCAAAAGAUCCACACCUGGCAAAGCAGUGUCACCUGUCAGUCACUGCUUCAAAACAUGUAACUCCAUUCAGCAGAAGACUUUAAAGCAGCAUGUGCAGAGAAUUUCCUGUAUUUAAGAUGAGUGAUGAAUUUUUUUGCAUGAAAGAGAAGAAACAACAAAAAGAAGGAAGGAAGGAAAGCAGUAAAAUGAAUGUGGUGAUCAAUGAAGAGAGGACUCCUAGAGAACAAAGGAUUAAAUCUUCAACACAUUUUUUUCCUUCUCUUUAUAUAGGAGCCAAGGGGAUGGUUAAUACUUUGCUACAACAGCAGCUGAUUCUCAAAAUAAGUGUUGGGAAGGGCAAUCAGGCAUCCCCCUCUUAGAAAAUAAUUUCAGACAUCAUGAGGCAGACACAGUGUUUCUGAUGUUCACAAGGAAAUCACGGUGGUAGACAAUGAGUCCCCAGUCCUUCUCUCAAAAUAUCAAACCUGCCUGUUCUUUUCUGUAAUUCCCACUGUGUCUGCUUUUGAAAGUAGUCAAACAGCUUCCUUUGAGUUUGAGCUUUCCCCAUCUGCUGACUUGCAGGCUUUUUAUUUCAUCCCAUCUCCUGCACAGAGGCCUCAUGCUCCUGCCAGCAGAAAUUCCCACACCACUGUCUCCCAGGAGGAAACUCCUUCCUACCUCUUUCUUAAAAUAUUUUUUUCCCUCUAGUUUGUCUGAGUAAUAUCCCAACCACUGUUCCUACAAGAGGAAAAGUGGUGGAUGACAAAGCACAUCCAAAGCCUUCUGUAGGGUUAACGAUUUUUGGGAGUGCUGUUAUGGAAGGAUUUAGCCACUCAUAGAUAAUUGCUUCUGCUUUGACUAUUUGUGAGGAAGAGAAAAAUAUACUUUUGAAUGAACCCAAUGCUAUAAGGAAAUUGUGUCUACUUAUGGGUUUCCUACCUGCUGGCUGUUGAUCUAUCGACUGGUACAAAGACAGCCUGGGAGAGGAUUUCAAGGGGUGCACAGCAGAGUCAGUGCACAGAGGUCAUUGAGAAGCCUGCAGUCCCUCUCAGAGGGCAAACAGUGUCCAGUUUCUGCACCCCGCCACCUCUGAGCUUGGGCACUGUACCUCUCACAGAGGCAAGGUGCUGUGAGGAGGUGAUGCUGGCAUCCUGCCUCCUCCUGAUUUUGAGAUUGCCAGGAGCUGGGACUCUCACUACCUCCCACAGUGGCAGCUUUUUCUGACUUAUACUGUGGGUCUGACAAUACCAUUUUUCUUUAGUUAAGAACAAAAAUGCAGUCUAGGCAAUCAUAGUAUAGAUAUUGCUGAUCUUAGGAUUUAGUGCAAGCUGACAUAAUUUUUCUCCCUUCUUCACUGAGGACAGCCAUCAUUACCCUCUCCACUUUUGAUUUCUUUCUUUUUUUUUUAAUAAAUAUUUCUGGUUAGUUAGAUUCUUAUUCCAUUAAAGUCUGUAUUUACCCAUAGCCAUGGGUAUGGGUACCAUGCAGUAACCAGCAGUCUGCUUCCAGAAACAAUUGAUGCCUUGAAGAAAGGUGAGUGCAUGGAGAAUACAACAUUUCAGAGUGCCAUCUUUCAUUGUAAAACUCUAAAAGUGAACAAAGUAUACAUGGGAUUAAAGAUCCUGUGAAAGGAUUUAAGCAAAAAAAUAAAUAGCUGAAUGAGACAAUGACAAAAUAACAGCAACAUCAGUAUGCUUUAUCCAAAUAAAUAUUUUACAUUGGAAAGGCAGAAACUGUCAAACUGUAAAGCAUGAAACUUGCCUGAGGCCUUUGAUACGAGAUACAGACUUUUCCAGAACACAUAAACUAAGAGUAUAAAUUGAUGUAAGUACUUUUCAUCUCCCCUUUUUGUCCAUGAUGUAAUUAUUUUGGCAGUUAAUAAGACAUUCAGGGUUGCACCUCCAUCUUCCUUGACUUGAUACAGCCAACAGAUAAAAUAAUCCCCCGCAACAAUUCAACCUCUAGCUAUGAGUCACUAUCUCUGAUGAGAAUGUGUCACUCUGUGUUAUCUUGGGCACAAGAAACAGCCAGGGCUUUUUUGAAACUUUUUCAUUGGGAAUUAGAAUUUCCUGGGGUGUUUAUUCAAUUUGUAUGUAUUAAACACCCAACCAAGGGGUUGUUGACCUGCCUAUUCUCAGGCAUUGAACUCUUCAGAGACACAAUAUCAUGACAGAUGAAGGGAAAGAGUCUGGAUUAAUGGAGUUAAGGAGGCAUCAAAGACAAAACAGUCUCUCAAAUACACACACACACACACACAAGUGCAGUUCUCCCUUUUUCCUCACACAAGUCUCAAGGAUUUCUCUACUAGGAGGACAGAAAAUAUGCCCUAGAUCCUAAACCUUUCCAUUACAAUAGACCCACUUCCUUUGGAUCAGAACAUAGAUCAAAUAUCUCUAAAAUAAUUUUCGUAUAUUUAGAUAUUUUUCAUCAGAUUUUAUUGUUUAUCAUUCUUUCCAUGCACCAGAAUUAUAUUCCCUGAAUGGUUUAAGAAAUAACCAGUUUUAAGUACAUACAAAGUAGAUUCCCAGACAGAAGCAAGGCUCAAGAAUUACAGGGACUAUGGGUAUCUCUGUGAUAUUGCCUCUGCUUUCUUCCAGGUGAGAGAUGAGUGAUGAAGGGUUACUUAAUGGAAUACUUAUGUGUAAUUAGACAGGGUGGAGGAAGAAAUUGUCACCUUCUCUUCCCAAAUUGUGUUUGUGAUAAUUACUGAGAGCUUAUACUGUUUUAUAUUGUUUUAUCUCCAAAAUGGGAACAGCGUAAACAUGCAUUCACAAUAGGGAUUUGAGAAAAUAGGAAGAGAUUAUCUGAAAUACAGUUAGAAAAUUCAGAUGUUAUGAGAAAAGAGAAUAGAUUUGCAAGAAGGAAGAAACUGCCAGCCAGUCAGCCUCCCCUCCAUCCCUGGAGCAGAUCAUUCUGGAGCUCAUCAACAUCAAUUUUUUCUAUAACCCUGGCAACAGGGCAAGGAAUAGUGUCCAUAAACUGAAAUACAAGAAGCUCCAGCUCAACGUGAGGAAGACCUUCUUUAUGUUGAGGGUGGCAGAGCACUGGAACAGGCUUCCCAGGGUAAUGACAGAAUCUUCCUCUCUGAAGACAUUCAAAACCCACCUGGAUGUGUUCCUGUGUAACCUGCUUUAGGUGACUCUGCCUUGACAGGGGGAUUGGACUAGAUGAUCCCCAGAGGUCUUUUCCAACCCUGGUGAAUCUGUGGUUAAAAAAAAACAAAACCCAAACUAAUCCUGUAGUUACCAAUACUGGUUUGGUAUUGGUAACUUGUUAUAUAUGGAAGCUUAUAUAACUAGUACAAGUCAGUAUGUCACACUGCUGAUCCCUCUCACUGACUUUCUCUACUGAAGACAGGUGGAAAACACCAGCAACAUUGAUGCAGUCUAAAACAUGUGGCUCCUCUCAAAAUUUACCAUGUCCUGGUUGGCACUGGAAGCAAACUUCAAUACUGACAAGUAAAUCUGAAUGGCUGAAAAGUGCACAGGGCAUCAUGAUGCUUCUGAACAGUCUUUGCAGGGAUUACUCUGCUAUUUUGGUUUUGUAACCUAUACCAGCCUCUUCAGCAUGCAGAAGGAUGCAUUCACAGCCCUGUUUGAGGAGCUCAUUCUGGAGAAUAAUACAGCUGUCU